AAAAGGUGGCUAUGCUACCGCUUUUGGAUGGGCCCGCGGCGCAUUAGCUAGUUGGUGGGGUAAAGGCUUACCAAGGCAAUGAUGCGUAGCCGAACUGAGAGGUUGAUCGGCCACAUUGGGACUGAGACACGGCCCAAACUCCUACGGGAGGCAGCAGUAGGGAAUCUUCCACAAUGGGCGAAAGCCUGAUGGAGCAACGCCGCGUGGGUGAAGAAGGUCUUCGGAUCGUAAAACCCUGUUGUUAGAGAAGAAAGUGCGUGAGAGUAACUGUUCACGUUUCGACGGUAUCUAACCAGAAAGCCACGGCUAACUACGUGCCAGCAGCCGCGGUAAUACGUAGGUGGCAAGCGUUAUCCGGAUUUAUUGGGCGUAAAGGGAACGCAGGCGGUCUUUUAAGUCUGAUGUGAAAGCCUUCGGCUUAACCGGAGUAGUGCAUUGGAAACUGGGAGACUUGAGUGCAGAAGAGGAGAGUGGAACUCCAUGUGUAGCGGUGAAAUGCGUAGAUAUAUGGAAGAACACCAGUGGCGAAGGCGGCUCUCUGGUCUGUAACUGACGCUGAGGUUCGAAAGCGUGGGUAGCAAACAGGAUUAGAUACCCUGGUAGUCCACGCCGUAAACGAUGAAUGCUAAGUGUUGGAGGGUUUCCGCCCUUCA
rnacentral:rRNA from 1 species